UUGCGCUUCGUCCCUGCUGAAAGAGGUUUACAACCCGAAGGCCGUCAUCCCUCACGCGGCGUCGCUGCAUCAGGCUUUCGCCCAUUGUGCAAUAUUCCCCACUGCUGCCUCCCGUAGGAGUCUGGGCCGUGUCUCAGUCCCAGUGUGGCCGGUCACCCUCUCAGGUCGGCUACCCGUCGUCGCCUUGGUAGGCCAUUACCCCACCAACAAGCUGAUAGGCCGCGGGCCCAUCCUGCACCGAUAAAUCUUUCCACCACCCACCAUGCGAUAGGAGGUCAUAUCCGGUAUUAGACCCAGUUUCCCAGGCUUAUCCCGAAGUGCAGGGCAGAUCACCCACGUGUUACUCACCCGUUCGCCGCUCGUGUACCCCGAAAGGCCUUACCGCUCGACUUGCAUGUGUUAAGCACGCCGCCAGCGUUCGUCCUGAGCCAUGGAUCAAACU
rnacentral:rRNA from 1 species